GCUGCUACCAUGCAGUCGAGCGAAGGGAGUACUACGGUACGAACUUAGCGGCGGACGGGUGAGUAACGCGUGGACAAUCUACCCUGUAGACUGGGAUAACACCUCGAAAGGGGUGCUAAUACCGGAUAAUGUCGAGAAGCGGCAUCGCUUUUCGAAGAAAGGAGGGAAUCCGCUAUAGGAGGAGUCCGCGUCCCAUUAGCUAGUUGGUGAGGGUAACGGCCCACCAAGGCGACGAUGGGUAGCCGGCCUGAGAGGGUGAACGGCCACACUGGAACUGAGACACGGUCCAGACUCCUACGGGAGGCAGCAGUGGGGAAUAUUGUGCAAUGGGGGAAACCCUGACACAGCGACGCCGCGUGAGUGAAGAAGGCCUUCGGGUCGUAAAGCUCAAUAGUAUGGGAA
rnacentral:rRNA from 1 species